AAUAAGUGUAGUUUUACACUAUUCACGUUGACCAUUCGUCUUAUUUAAAAUUUUUUUAUGAUUAGUAUUUUUAUUGCUAUUAGAUGAUAAAACAUGAAUAGUACUUUGUGUGUGACUAAAUAUUUUUAAAUUUUUCAAAUAAGACGACAGUUAAACGUUGGGCACGGAUAUUCACAGCUACACUUAUU
rfam:Oryza sativa Japonica Group DNA, chromosome 6, cultivar: Nipponbare, complete sequence.